rnacentral:rRNA from 1 species
AGCGUUGUUCGGAAUCACUGGGCGUAAAGGGCGCGUAGGCGGCCGAUCAAGUCGGGGGUGAAAGCCUGUGGCUCAACCACAGAAUUGCCUUCGAUACUGUUUGGCUUGAGACCGGAAGAGGUAAGUGGAACUGCGAGUGUAGAGGUGAAAUUCGUAGAUAUUCGCAAGAACACCAGUGGCGAAGGCGGCUUUCUGGACAGUAACUGACGCUGAGGCGCGAAAGCUAGGGGAGCAAACAGG